rnacentral:rRNA from 1 species
AGUGAACGCUGGCGGUAGGCCUAACACAUGCCAGUCUAACGGCAGCACAGUAAGAGCUUGCUCUUACGGGUGGCGAGUGGCGGACGGGUGAGGAAUACAUCGGAAUCUACUUUUUCGUGGGGGAUAACGUAGGGAAACUUACGCUAAUACCGCAUACGACCUACGGGUGAAAGCAGGGGAUCUUCGGACCUUGCGCGAUUGAAUGAGCCGAUGUCGGAUUAGCUAGUUGGCGGGGUAAAGGCCCACCAAGGCGACGAUCCGUAGCUGGUCUGAGAGGAUGAUCAGCCACACUGGAACUGAGACACGGUCCAGACUCCUACGGGAGGCAGCAGUGGGGAAUAUUGGACAAUGGGCGCAAGCCUGAUCCAGCCAUACCGCGUGGGUGAAGAAGGCCUUCGGGUUGUAAAGCCCUUUUGUUGGGAAAGAAAAGCAGCAGGUUAAUACCCCGCUGUUCUGACGGUACCCAAAGAAUAAGCACCGGCUAACUUCGUG